rnacentral:rRNA from 1 species
UACGAGGGGGGCAAGCGUUGUUCGGAUUUAUUGGGCGUAAAGGGUGCGUAGGCGGUUUGGCAAGUCUUGUGUGAAAUCUUUGGGCUCAACCCAAAGUCUGCAUAAGAAACUGCCGGGCUUGAGUACGGGAGAGGUGAGUGGAAUUCCGAGUGUAGAGGUGAAAUUCGUAGAUAUUCGGAAGAACACCAGUGGCGAAGGCGGCUCACUGGCCCGUUACCGACGCUCAGGCGCGACAGCGUGGGGAGCAAACAGG